rnacentral:rRNA from 1 species
CAGCAGCCGCGGGAAUACAGAGGGUGCGAGCGUUAAUCGGAUUUACUGGGCGUAAAGCGUGCGUAGGCGGCUUUUUAAGUCGGAUGUGAAAUCCCUGAGCUUAACUUAGGAAUUGCAUUCGAUACUGGGAAGCUAGAGUAUGGGAGAGGAUGGUAGAAUUCCAGGUGUAGCGGUGAAAUGCGUAGAGAUCUGGAGGAAUACCGAUGGCGAAGGCAGCCAUCUGGCCUAAUACUGACGCUGAGGUACGAAAGCAUGGGGAGCAAACAGGAUUAGAUACCCCAGUAGUCCCUGUCUCUUAUAC